AAAACAUCACCUCCAGCAUCCCUAGUAUUGGAGGCACUGCCUGCCCAGUGACAACUGUUUAACGGCCGCGGUAUCCUGACCGUGCAAAGGUAGCAUAAUCAUUUGUUCUCUAAAUAAGGACUUGUAUGAAUGGCCACACGAGGGUUUUACUGUCUCUUACUUCCAAUCAGUGAAAUUGACCUUCCCGUGAAGAGGCGGGAAUGCAUAAAUAAGACGAGAAGACCCUAUGGAGCUUUAACUAACCAACCCAAAGAAAAUAAAUUUAACCAUUGAGGAACAACAACAAUCUCCAUGAGUUGGUAGUUUCGGUUGGGGUGACCUCGGAGAAUAAAAAAUCCUCCGAACGAUUUUAAAGACUAGACCCACAAGUCAAAUCACUCUAUCGCUCAUUGAUCCAAAAAUUUGAUCAACGGAACAAGUUACCCUAGGGAUAACAGCGCAAUCCUAUUUAAGAGUCCAUAUCGACAAUAGGGUUUACGACCUCGAUGUUGGAUCAGGACAUCCUGAUGGUGCAACCGCUAUCAAAGGUUCGUUUGUUCAACGAUUAAAGUCCUACAUGA
rnacentral:rRNA from 1 species